AAUAUAGGUUUAUCUCCCUAAGAUCUCGAUUCCUUUCGAUAUUGGCAUGUGUCGGACCGUAACUUCAUGGAUUAUGGCCCCUGAUUGUACGAAAAAUGAUGUUUUUAGUUUGUGGACCCUAUAGAGGUCAUAAUUUUUAUCCGAUUUAAAAAAACGUUUGAAUAUAUCAUCGUUACACCCUAAAGAUGGUUGAGUUCAAGUUUCGUAAAAAUCGGACCAAAACUGACAGACAAAAUGGCGGCCCCUCGUAUUCAAAUAGUGUAAAUAAAAAUAUGGUAUAUCAAGGUUGUGGACCCUCUAGAGGUCACAAUAUUCUUCUGAUUUUGAUGAAACUUGAAAUGUAAGUUUAUAACCCAAAGAUCUUGGUUCCUGUCGAUAUUCGAGAAUAUCGGAUGGUAAAUUCCAGAAUUGACCUUUCCGUCAGAGACCUAGUAGCUCCUCCCACUUUUUUAUAAUGACGUCACCUUAGACAACAUUGAUGCGCCUUAGACAUAAACAAACAUGGCGAUGACAGACGUCGUUUCAUCCUGUGCCAAUCUGUUGGACCUUCCUGCUGAUUUGUCUGUUGAAUAUUUGAAAGAAAAGUGUGACGUGAGUUUAAAAUCAAGGCAGCAUUGCUUUAGAUUGUUUAACGAAGGUUAUUUCAUUGACGUAAAAUUUUUUUGGGCUAGUGACUGAUCAACCAUCAACGUGUCGUCCAGGUGUUAUCGGAGUCGGCGAAAGAAUCAGAAACCCCAUUCAGUUCACUUAGACGUGUUCCUGUCUUGCUGGGUAAGUAAACUCUUACUUAUUUACUGUUACUUAGGCCGAUUUUUGCAUGGUUUUUAAAAUUGUCCGACUAUGAAGCAUAGGUGUAGGACGUAACACAGGAAAGGAGUAUGCACAGAUAUUACAUUUCUGAUGACCUUUGUUGUCUAGGCUCAGUCCGGUCUGGAUUCGAUAUAAAUUUGGAGAAAACCAAGGUUUGCUAUAUUUAUAUUUACUGCUGUAGAUUGUAAGGCCGAUAUACAUGAGGACUAGCCUAGCCCUAGUACUUAGUAGUACUAGUAGUAGAUCAUCCUGAACACAGAGUUGUACAUAAUAACAUAUAGUGGUAGGCCUAGUUGGUACUUACUGUUACUAUUUCUAUUAGUCUAGUUAAUAAGUACCAAAAGCAGAGGCAGUAAAAAUACACAAAUUUUGUUAACUGGGGCAGCCUAUGUAGGCCUUAACAGCUGUUCUGAAUGGGCCUAUGCCGUAUAACAUGUUCCUGCAUGGAAUAGCCUCUUAAAUUUGUUUUAUCACGGUUAUUUAAUUUGUAGGAUGUGUGGCUCUUGCUCCCAUGUUGUCGGGCUGGUGAUCGCUCUUCAACAGUGGCAACUAAUGGGAUUUAGUGAUGAAAAAGAGGUGAAAAAAUUGAUCCUGCAGCAGUAACCAACAUCCGUUUUAUUAAUCCAAAGCCAGUUCACAAAACAUGUUCAGAAUAUGCUCCAAGAUUGUAGGAAAGAAAAAUUCAGAAGUGUUAAAAAUGAAAUUUCUUUUAAUUAAAUACAUGUUUACAAAUAAAAAAUGAGUCAAAUUACUAGAUACAAUUAGGAAAAGAGUGUUACAAUACAAUGUAUUUUGUGAUUCAAAAAGUUAACAGACUAACUUUUAAAUUCCCUUUGAUUGUGUGUUUAUCGAAGAUUGUUGAUAAAUAAAAACAAAACUCAAAUACCAGUAAAUUUCAUGUUAAUUCUAGUAUUGAAAAUUUCAGAUUACUUCAAGUUGAAACAGAAGAUAUUCAGCAUCUACAGUCUUUAAAAGGUUGUCCUAUAAGCUACCUGGUAUCUUCACCACCUAGUGAUACUGAUAAAUUUAUAAAUACACAUAUUGGUGCCUUUAGUGUUGGCAGUGGAUUGUCAACUCAUGUAGCAAAUUUCUUCAAACCAAAGAGUGAAACACCUGUAAAUACAAACUGUGGUAAUUUACAAUUCCCAAGAGAUUUGAUCAUAAAUGUUAGUGAAGAAAUAGUAAGAACAGCGCCAUCUAUGCAGUUACAACAGUGUGUUUCUAUAGAAGAAAGAACACAAGAUCAAUCUAAUAGUCGUCUAUUGUUUGAGGAGAGAAAACACAGAUUAACAGCUUCUGAAUUUGGAUCUAUUGUAAAAAGAAGAGUUGUGUCAGACAAAUUAUUGAAUCAAUAAUAAAUCCUAAAUUUUUUACUUCAGCACCAACAUCAUAUGGAAAGAACAAUCAGAAAAAGGCCAUCAAAUUUUAUACUUAGAAAUCUGGAAAUCAUGCUCAUGAUUGUGGACUCAUUGUAAAUCCAAAGUUGCCAUUUUUAAGCGGUACACCAGAUGGAAAAAUCUGUGGUCAGGAUGGUACAGUUAGGUUACUUGAAGUAAAAUGUCCUUUUAAGGAACUGGACUUAAACAUUGAAGACGCUUGUCUGCAUAAUAACUUUUGUUUAGAAAGUAAAGAUGGUGUUAUUCAACUUAAAACCAAUCAUAAUUACUUUUACCAAAUUCAAGGACAACUGUUAGUUUCUGGUUCGAAUUUUGUUGACUUUGUAGUCUACACAAAGAAGGAUUUAUUUUUACAGAGAAUUCAGCCAGAUAAUUUAUGUUGAAUAUGGUUAACAAAUUAUUUGUCUUUUAUGAAAAUCAUGUAAAAGCUAAAUUGAAGUAGGUCAAUUACUAGUAUAUGGCGACUGCACUGUCAACAUAAUAUUGUAUCAUUUGUAACCAAAGACUUGUCGCAUUAUUUGGCACACUAAGGUAAGGGGAGGUAACUUGACCAGUUGACCACCCUUUGUUCUACUAAGACAAUUUGAUUUUAAUAUGGAUUUGUUCUGCUCUUUUCUUAAUCUUCGACAGUUACCCUAUAAUUAAUGGCCAAAGCACACACGCUCGGAUUAUUCAAAUGUAGUAUGCACUUCAUUCAACACAUAAAACCAAAUCUGAGUCCUACAUUAUGUUUCAUGGAGUUUGAAAGGAAAAUUAAGUGCGAUCAAGCCGCCCAUGUGGUCAAGCCACCUCACUUUACCUGUAUAUAAUUAAACUUAUGUACUUACAUGAACCGACUUUUUGAAUGGCAGACUCAUGAUGAUCUUCCUGAAUUUCAUUAGUAAUUGUAGUAGCAUUAGAUUGUACUGGUUUCCUUUUUUCACAACAGCAAUGUUGCUGUAAAAGAAAAAAUUUGCCUUAUUUCAUUCAGAAUCUAUAAAUAAAUAAUGUGCUGAGUCUUUAAA